rnacentral:rRNA from 1 species
GACGAACCGUGCGAACGUUGUUCGGAUUCACUGGGCUUAAAGGGCGCGUAGGCGGCUUGCCAAGUCAGGGGUGAAAUCUUUCGGCUUAACCGGAAAAGUGCUUCUGAUACUGGCGGGCUGGAGGGAGGUAGGGGCAGACGGAACUUCCGGUGGAGCGGUGAAAUGCGUAGAUAUCGGAAGGAACGCCGGUGGCGAAAGCGGUCUGCUGGACCUCUUCUGACGCUGAGGCGCGAAAGCCAGGGGAGCAAACGGGG